AACCCGACCACCACUGGCCUUCGCAGGACACCAUGAAGCAUAGUCCAAACCUUCUUCUCUCCUGUCAACAGCGGCCAGCCCCACAACUAUGAGAUGCUCAAGGAGGAGCACGAGGUGGCUGUACUGGGGGCGCCCCACAACCCUGCUCCCCUGACAUCCACCAUGAUCCACAUCCGCAGUGAGACCUCCGUGCCCGACCACGUCGUCUGGUCCCUGUUCAACACCCUCUUCAUGAACCCCUGCUGCCUGGGCUUCAUAGCAUUCGCCUACUCCGUGAAGUCUAGGGACAGGAAGAUGGUUGGCAACCUCACUGGGGCCCAGGCCUAUGCCUCCACCGCCAAGUGCCUGAACAUCUGGGCCCUGAUUUUGGGCAUCCUCAUGACCAUUCUGCUCAUCGUCAUCCCAGUAUUGAUCUUCCAAGCCUACUGAUAGAUCAGGAGACAUCAUUCAGGCCAGGAGCUCUGCCCAUAACCUGUAUCCCACGUGCUCCACCUUCCAUUCCUCGCCCUGCCCCUGGAGCCAAGUCCUGUAUCAGCCCUUUAUCCUCACACACUUUUCUACCAUGGCAUUCAAUAAAGUGUACAUGUUUAAAAAAAAAAAAAA